UACGAAGGGUGCAAGCGUUACUCGGAAUUACUGGGCGUAAAGCGUGCGUAGGCGGUUUGUUAAGUCUGUCGUGAAAGCCCCAGGCUCAACCUGGGAAGUGCACUCGAUACUGCGUGGCUUGAGUAUCGGAGAGGUUGGUGGAAUUCUCGGUGUAGAGGUGAAAUUCGUAGAUAUCGAGAGGAACACCGGUGGCGAAGGCGGCCAACUGGACGAAUACUGACGCUGAGACACGAAAGCGUGGGGAGCAAACAGG
rnacentral:rRNA from 1 species